GAGGAUGGCCAAGACCUUAAUGGUUUGGAUUACGAAGUUGAACCGUCACACACAGCCCCCACACCACCACCACCAGCACACAUGGACACUACAUCCAAGCCUGCUGCAGACGCACUCCCCAAAGCUGCAUACCCAAAAGCCCACACUCCUUUUACUGACAUUGGUGAUGGCAAGUAUCACGUGAAAGAUGGCCUCAUGAUUGGAAGCAAGCAGGCGGAAAAAAUCCUGGGCCAUAAAAAACCUCCACUCGUUGUAAAGGAU
rnacentral:lncRNA from 1 species